rnacentral:rRNA from 1 species
UACGUAGGUGGCAAGCGUUGUCCGGAUUUACUGGGCGUAAAGCGCGCGCAGGCGGAUUGGUCAGUCCGGGGUGAAAUCUCACGGCUCAACUGUGAGCGGUCCCCGGAUACUGCCAGUCUCGAGGUGUCUAGAGGAGAGCGGAAUUCCCGGUGUAGUGGUGGAAUGCGUAGAUAUCGGGGAAGAAACACCAGUGGCGAAAGGCGGCUCUC